GAACUUCGUCUAAAUGUAUUAGGAUACGUGGAAUGCCAAAGAGGCUCUAACAAAUGCACGAAACGCGGUUCUAACAGUUAAACGUUAAAAGAACAAGGCAAAAGGCAUCAAUAUUAAGAGACACACCAUGUCAUAGUGAGUAGAGGAGGCGCGCAGAGGAUGCCAAAUGCUCGUUUCCAGCAUAGGAAGAGAUCAUUUCAAAUUCGGGACAGAUUACAGAGCAUGAGGGAUUGCAGACCUCAUCGAUUUAUAGUAGACCAGGCAGACAGAGUGGUAGGGACUGUUGUUACGUAUUUUACACUACAAUUACUACCUGAAUGUCGAAGCUGCAGAUGGAAGAUCUUACACUCUUGCAUUCAUGUAACAUUCAAAAGAAACGUACUUUUUGUUGUUCUAAGUCUUAAGUACUUCACCGAACCAGUGCAUCCUUAAAAAAGCUAAGGUUGCAUCUGACAUCAAAGUGGAUGUAAGAGGAACAGCUUGACCUUUUUAAAUAUAGAAUGAAAAGUUCAGAAUGCGCGCUAACUUCUCAGGCGCCUUGAAGUAGACAUUCCCAAGUUUUAACUAAGGUCGAAGUAGCUUUCGACAGACCGAGACAAUUCUUGGAAUGUCUUCCAAACCUGCAGUCUCUAUCAGCGACGACCCGUGAACAUGUACUUAAUGUUGUGCGCAAUGCGUCCCAAGUAGUAGAAGGGAUUGUAGUGGUUAAGCCUGCCUCGAAGCUUCCACUUCUGGUUGUGAAAAGGAUGCCUCAGCUUCCAUUUGAAGUGCUGCCAGCGGUUCGCGGCGUGAGCAACGUUGGCAUCUGCUCGCCUCAAGGCAUCCAUCUUAGUUUCUGCGAAACUAUCGGAGAUGUUACUAAAUGUUGCAAAAUCUGCCGAAACUCCUCCAAUGAGGAAUAACUCUACAAAUUGAAUCCAACGAAUAACUCGGUGCUCACGCGACCGGCUCCCAAACGAUGAAACUCCACACUGUACAAUUAAGCACUCUAUCAAGACAAACCCUAGCGGAGAGUGCAGACCAGUCCUCAAGGCCGAAAUGGUGCUCUCCACAAUCUAUAAUAUAGGUGAUCAAAAGCCGGAAUCACAGCACCCACUCGGCCGGAAAUCCAGGGGAAAUCGACCUCGAUCAAGAGUGACUCCCUUUGCAAUCCUCGUCACAACAUGUAGCAGAAACCUCCUUGUUCACUCGACUGCCUCAAGGCAUCUGGGCCGUCAGGUUUCCAGAUUGAAUCUUGACCGUUAUAGGGUUUAUUUGGAACUCAAGGGGAACGCAGAGUGCGGGCAGAGGAUCUUGAGGGAAACUAGCGGCGCGGGCAAAGGGAGCGAGGAAGGGGAUCACAUAGGGAACGCGGGAGAACU
rnacentral:lncRNA from 1 species